AUUGAACGCUGGCGGCAGGCUUAACACAUGCAAGUCGAGCGGGGGAAGGUAGCUUGCUACCGGACCUAGCGGCGGACGGGUGAGUAAUGCUUAGGAAUCUGCCUAUUAGUGGGGACAACAUCUCGAAAGGGAUGCUAAUACCGCAUACGACCUACGGGAGAAAGCAGGGGAUCCUCGGACCUUGCGCUAAUAGGUGAGCCUAAGUCGGAUUAGCUAGGUCGUGGGGUAAAGGCCAACGAAGGCGACGAUCUGUAGCUGGUCGGAGAGGAUGAGCCGCCACACUGGGACUGAGACACGGCCCAGACUCCUACGGGAGGCAGCAGUGGGGAAUAUUGGACAAUGGGGGGAACCCUGAUCCAGCCAUGCCGCGUGUGUGAAGAAGGCCUUAUGGUUGUAAAGCACUUUAAGCGAGUAGGAGGCUACUCUAGUUAAUACCUAGGGAUAGUGGACGUUACUCGCAGAAUAAGCACCGGCUAACUCUGUGCCAGCCGCCGCCGUAA
rnacentral:rRNA from 1 species